rnacentral:misc_RNA from 1 species
GUGACUAAAGAAAUGGAGAAACAGGUGCAUGCCAGUCCUGUAUUAAUAUUCCUUGUAGCAUAUGCAUAUCCUCUUUCAUGCCUUAUGUUUUUGGUUACUCCUUGUUUCAAUUGCUAAAGUUGACCACUUUAUGUAAAGGGAUAUUGAACCUAGCAUGCUGAGGUAAACACCCAUAUUCUUAGUAAACAUACUUUCUAUCAUGAAGGCGUCUCAAAAAUUAUAUGGGCUUAUUUUAUUUUAUUCAAUCACUAAGCAACAAUACGUGUGAUUGCGUAUCAAUUUAUCAAGUGAACAGAGGUACCAGGUUUUUGAAGUUGAGUGUCCAAGAUCAUGUCAUCUGGUUUUAAAAAUUUGAAUUUAAGCACCAUAUAAGUUACUAUGCUAGGUAUUUGGAAAAACUUUUCGUGCUUUUGAGAAGGCAGGCAGAUUUCUUCAAAAUGCUAAUUGAAUGGUUACUUAUUAUGCAUCAUUCUUUUUUUCAAACCAUUGUUUUACAUUAUGAACUAGGGACUGUUGUUCAUUAUUCCCCUUCUGUAAUAUUUGUAAGUAAGAAUUUAUUCCUUGAUGUCUUUCCUUUACUGCAUAUAUCAAAUUUGUUAAAGCUUUAUCUAGUUAAACGAUUUAAUUACUAUUAUGUGAAAUUCAUGCCUGAAAAUAUAAACUGCAUGGGUUUCUUUAUACUUUGCGUUAAAUCUGAUAGAACAUUUCUGGGUAUUUUGCUUAUGCUAUUGAAGAUUGGAUAUGAAUUUGAC